ensembl:lncRNA
AUGGUUACACGAAGUGUUAUUCUGAUUACAGGAGGUGGAAAAGGUUUGGACACUGAGACUUGCGUUUCAACUAGCCAGCGAGCUCUUCCAACAAAACCUAACUCUUGUGAAAUGGAAUUCCAUCAAACUCAGGGACCUUCAAGACCUUCUUGCUCGACAAUAUAUGACCUAUUCGGAAUGUGUCAGAGACAUGCGUCUGCGUCAAAACCUUCCAAUUGGUGAUAUGGUUAAGAACUACUUCAAACAGCUGGACGACUUUCUUUCACGUGAGAGUUUCAGCUUGUGCUCAUGGGAGGUCGUGAGAACUGAAAUGGGGAGCAUCCUGAGGGAUUUUUACAAGAAAUCAAAAAUGCCAAGAAAACACGUGUGAGAGUAUCAUUACUUUUAGUUAAUUUCUGCAAAACGUGUAAUUUUUUUGUAUGUUAUUUCUCCGUGUUGCAAAUAAUUUCAAUGUAGGUUAUAGUAUUUAAAUGAAGAUGCAAACAGACUUACAUUGGUUGAAAUUGCGCUCGCAAUUUUGUAAAAUUCUGUGGUGUGAUGCAACCUUGAAAUACGAGUUUUUCGUUGAAAUGUUUUCCUAAAUGAGAAAUUAUUCCUACUAACAAUUGCAUAUCAACAUCAUCUUCAAUGAAAAACAAUAAACUCCUUAAUUAACAAUACUCUGAAUUCCAGCCAUACUUUCCUGCCCUUUAAGACAUCAUCAAAUCACUGUAAAGCAUUGUUGAUUCGGAUAGUUGUUAAUACUAUCAGGUACACAUUUACUGGAUAUCAUGCAACAUAAUUAUAACUCCACAUUCUAAAUGUUAGUUCAAUGGAAUAUAGCAAUCGCUAACCGUGCUGUUACUCGUCAGUCUCUACAGUGGAAAGAUAAUAGAUGCAGAGGUAACAUCAACUCACAUAUCUGGAUAAAAGUCCAAUAAAACACACGAAUGUGGAAUACUUGACAAAUGAUCUACGUGACAGACCUAUAUUUUACUCACAAGUGCGUGUAGGCCCAGAUUCAAAAGCACCCGAAAUAUAGACUCCAAUUUAAGCACUAAUGCCAAGGUAAGGGGUAUGGCCAACGUCUAUACUGCCUGUGCACUGCAUAGGCUACCAGUGUUUUAUUCUGAAAACAGGGAGCAUAAUGGUGCGGGUCUACCAAAAUUAUUCAGUCCACUUAAACCCGUUUUUAAAACGAAAUAAAUGAAUGUUGAGUGUGUAAUUGAUAGAACCCAUACAAGGUUGAUCUGUAUCUUUAAAUAGGCAGUUGAGGUCUAAAUACCACAAUUACCCUUUGAGCAGGUGGUUACAACCUAGUUGGCACCAUAGUUUCUGUGCGCAAAUGAAAAGGUGUUGCGUUUAUUUCUUCUAUUAAAAGCAAUCCUGAAUGAAAGGACAAUAUUUAAUGAUAAAAUAGCCAAAAAAAUCCAGAUGUAACAAUUAUUCGAGAGAUGCAGCUGUCCUUUCCCUGCAUUUUCUCCAAACGAAGAACAACACUCUCAGGUAUGAAAGUGUAAGGGAACUUCCAUCUUUCACUUUUGGAAUACCUUGCAGACUCUUUGUAUGAAGGG